CAGGGCUUGGAGGAUAUAGCAGGCGAAGAAUUACGGCUGAACCACCUUGCCUGAAACCUAGGAGUUUUCCCACUGUAAGAUACUUCAAAACCAUAAACUCCAUGAAGUCAGAGACUACAUCUGCUUUGUCAAUGAAUGUCCAGGACCUAGCACAUAACCAGCCACCUGGAAGUGAGGAUGUGUUGAUGCAAGCACUCCUGUGACCACUAGACGGACUGCUCUGGAUCAGAUCUGAAGCCAGUACAGAACUUGCGUUGCCAAAGGCCC